rnacentral:lncRNA from 1 species
GCUUUCUUUGUAGGAGCCUGCUCAUCCUCUUCUUUUGCUCUUUUGAUUUCUUUGCAGCCAAGGUUUGCUGUCGAGAAGUCUUCUGUGUCCCAGAGCCAACUGGCUUGGAGGCUAAGGCUUUUCCUCUUAGUGCAGACUCUUUUCUUUCAGCUUCUUGCUUCUCAGCAUCUAGCUUUCCCUAUGUUUUCUUAACCAUUGGUACCUGAAAAAUUCAAAACUUGAAAAGGGAUAAGUAGAUGGAAGCAAAGAAGAUUAAGACUUUAUAAAUGAAAAUUGCAAGAGUAAACUCAACAAAUGAACUAGCAAUUUAAGCUCAAGUUAACCCAAUGCAGCUAUUUCACACAUUUAGCACCAAGAAGCCAAGCUAAGAGCAAAGAAUCACACUUCUCAAUCUUAUCAAAAUAUGAAAAUUACAAGUUAAGUAAAAUUCAAUAAUCAAAGUGGUUCUUGAAUGAGAAAAUUCUUUAAUCAAACUUUUAAACACCUUAACACACCAAGUUCACCCACCAACACACUCAAUUAAGGUCAAUUU